GAUGAACGCUAGCUACAGGCUUAACACAUGCAAGUCGAGGGGCAGCAUGGUCUUAGCUUGCUAAGGCCGAUGGCGACCGGCGCACGGGUGAGUAACACGUAUCCAACCUGCCGUCUACUCUUGGACAGCCUUCUGAAAGGAAGAUUAAUACAAGAUGGCAUCAUGAGUCCGCAUGUUCACAUGAUUAAAGGUGUUCCGGUAGACGAUGGGGAUGCGUUCCAUUAGAUAGUAGGCGGGGUAACGGCCCACCUAGUCUUCGAUGGAUAGGGGUUCUGAGAGGAAGGUCCCCCACAUUGGAACUGAGACACGGCCCAG
rnacentral:rRNA from 1 species